GUGCUUAUUUCAGCAGCACAUAUGUUAAAAUUAAAAUAUUAAAGAAAAGAUUAACUUGACUCCUGCGUAAAGGUGAUAUGCAAAUAUGUGGAUUUCUAUAUUUUU